GGGCACAUAGCUCAGCUGGUUAGAGCGUCGCAUUCACAUUGCGAAGGUCGGAGGUUCGAGUCCUCCUAUGCCCA
rnacentral:tRNA from 2 species